CUCUCUCUCUCCCCCCCACCGUCUCCCGCGUCGCAUCGCGUCGUCGUUCUCGCGUAGUCUAGGGUUUCCCCUUCCCUCUUCUCCGCCUCUCAUGGCGUUUGUGGGUUUCCGAGGUCGUUUCGUAUCACCUCUCCGAUCGCCUUCUCCCAAUCGAUUGGAGGUAUCAACCCCGAGAUCCGGUUUUGGUUCUCUCUCUCUCUCUCUCUCUCUCUCUCUCGGUUUCUUGGGGUGACGAUGUGACGAAGGCGUUCUCGUAUUCUUUGAAGGAAACGUCGUAGAGAAAAACGGCAUCGUGUGAGGCUUGCAUUCACUUUCCCAAUUCCUUUUCUUGUAUGAUUAAUUGUGUAAUUUGCUCGAUUAAUCCUUAUUUUAUGCGAAUUUUAGGUUCUAUUUUAGAUAUAGGCAUGUGGAUCUUUGAUUCUUUUAUACUCUGUUUGAUUUUUGUGGGUUAUAGGGUUUCAUACUAGGCUAUAUUUUUGCAAGCAUGUGGUUGUUGGUAUCAUUUUUCUAUAUUUUCCAGUUUUCUUGCAAUUUUAAUUUAUCUUAAUCUCUUAUAUAUUUUGACGGAGUACUUUGAUUGAGUUAUUUUGUCGGCUAUUGGGGUUGCUUGUGAAGGUUCUUGAUUUCUUCCUUCUUUUUCACGUAUUGUUGGGUUUUUUGUUGGCAAUUCAUGUAAUCUGGUUGGCAAAGAAGGUGAACCAAAACAGUGGGAAGCAACGGAGAAUUUUUUUAGAAAUUGUUACCCUCUUUUUGAAAUAUGGUUAUCAAUAAAUGGUCCCUUCUUGGUUUUCCCCCUUCUCUUUUACAGUAUAUUUGCAAAUUUACCUCUUUUUUUUUCCGUAUGUUUUAACAAUAUUUUCGUUGAUCUUCUAUAGCAAUUCAUAUAAUUUAGUUGGUAAAUUAUUGGAACUGGAAAGGAUGAAAGGAGACUGAGAAAAAUGAAAUACUGUUGCCAAUAAGGAAGUGGGAAAUAUUGUUGCCUAUGAAGGUUCUCUGUCUCCUUUUCCAUUUCAUUUCAGUUUCAUUGAGAUUGUGUCUUUAUAUUGUUUUCUCUAAUAUGUUUUGACGAAGUUUCUAGAUGGAGUUUUCUGUCGGCAGUGCUUAUAAUGGGUUAAAUUAUUUGAACGCAAAAAAGGAAAAAGGAGAGAGUGAGGAAGUGAAAUAAAAACUGCCUAUAGAGGUUCUACAGUUGCUUCUCAGUUUAUUUCCUAUAUAUUUGUAAAAUUUUACAUUUCUAUUUUUAUCCUCUUAUAAGUUACGUGAAAGUAUUUUGCUUGAGCUUUUUGUCCGGUUCAUAUCAUCUUCUUGAUUUAAAAUAGAAAUGCGCAAGCUUCUUGCCCUAUUUUGUUCUCAUUUCUUUUAGUUUUGAUGCAAUGCACCUUUCUAUCUUGUUGUUACAUGUUGUUACAGAGUGUUCCUUUUUUUUUUUGUUUGUUGGCAAUUGAUUAAGAUCUGGGUAGCAAAUUAUCUGAACGGCAAACAAUAAAAGUAUGCCGAGACAAUGAAAUAUUGCCUAUAAAGGUUCUCAGUUUUAAGUACAAUUGCCUACACAGGUUCUCGGUUUUAAGUACAAUUGCCUAUACAGGUUCUUAGUUUCUUUUUUUCCUUUCCAUUUCAGGUUCAUAGCAAUUUUACCUUUCUGUCUUUUUCUCUUAGAUGUUUUUGAAUAAAAUGUUUUGAUUGUGCUUUUUCUUGUUGGCAAUUGUAUAAUCUAUUGAAAUAUUAAUUGAACGGGUAAAGUCAAAAGGAGGCUGAAAAAGUGAAAUACGGUAUGCCUACAAAAGGUUCUUGGCUGGAAAUACAGUUGCCAAUAAAAGAUUUUCCUUUUUCAUUUUUGAUUCAUUGAUUUCCUUCUGUUGCCUUUCUUUACAUGUCUCAACAAUGUCUGGGUUUCUUGUUGGCAAUCAACACAAUCCAGCUUGCAAAUUAUUUGCUUGUAAACAGAGAAAAGGAGAGAGAAUAGUUGGUUUAAGGGCCGGCCAUGGUUAUUCUCAGUUUGAAGUACGAAAUGCCUGUAAAGUUUCUCAGUUUUUUUUUUCUCCGUUUCAUUUCAGUUUCAUUGAAACCUUACUUUUCUAUCUUACUUUAUAUGUUUUAUGAGACUAUUUUGAUUGAAUUUUUUCUAAUGACAAUUCAUAAAACCUGUUGUCUAAUUAUAUCUCAAUUAAAAGGAGGAGAAGACGAGGGAAAUAAAUAUUGGUGCCUAUGAAGGUUCUUGGUAGAAUUACAGUUACCUAUGGAAGUCCUCAGGUUUCUUUUUCCAUUUUAAUUUCAGUUUUGUCGAAUUUUUUUUUUUUAUCUUUUGUAUUGCAUGUUUUAACUGUCUUGAUUAAGUUUGUUUUGGCAAUUUAGACAACAUGGUUAAUAAAUUGAUUAAACAGAAGAGGAGAGGAAAAGGAGAUUGAGAAACAGUUGAGAUAUGGUUGCGUCCAGUGGCUUUAUAUAGUUGCCUAUCAAGAUUCUCCACUUCUCUUACCUUUUCUGUUUACUUGCAGUUUAACCUUUCUAUCUUUUUUCUCUAUGUAUAUUAAUAGAUUGUUUCAACUGAUUUUUUUUGAUCAUUCAUACAAUCCAGUUAGCAAAUUAUUUGAACUGUAAAAAGAAAAAGGAGCUGAGAAAACAGUUAAAAUGCGGUUGCUGAGGGUACUUAAUUUGAAAGGCAGUUUCCUAUAAAGGUUCUCAUUUUCUUUUCUUUUUUAAUUUCAUUUUUUUUCCCCUCUCUUUCAUAUGUUUUAACAGAAUGUUUUUGUUUAGCUCUCCUUUUUUCCCCCUCUCACUCUUAUAUGCUUUAACAGAAUUUCUUCCUCUCUUAUAAAGGUUUUCGGUUUCUUUUUCUUCUUUAAUCUUUUUCUUUUUAUGUUUAAAUUUUAACAAAUUGUUUCAACAGAUUUUUUUUCUGACCAUCCAUACAAUCCAGUUAGCAAAUUAUUUGAAUAGAGAAAGGAAAAAGUAGCUGAGAAAUGGUUGAAAUGCCCAUAGCCUAGGAGGGUUCUUAAUUUGAAAUACGGUUGCCUAUAAAGAUUCUCAGUUUCUCUUCCUUUUUCUUCCAUCUCUUAGAAUUUUUCUCUCUAUCUCAUAUGAUGCUUUAACAUGCUGUUUUUGUCCAGUGUUUCGUUGGCAAUUUAUAUAUAGUGUUAGCAAUUUAUAUAUGCUGUUUUUGUCCAGUUUCUCUUCCUUUUUCUUAAUUCAAAAUAUGGUUGCCUAUGAAGAUUCUCAGUUUCUCUUCCUUUUUCUUCUGUCUCCUUGAAUUUCUCUCUCUCUCUCUCUCUCAUAUGAUGCUUUAACUUGCUGUUUUUGUCCAGUGUUUCGUUGGUAAUUUUUAUAUAUAGUGUUAGGAAAUGUUAUUAACCAAGAAAGAGAAAAGGAGACGAAAAGAUUUGGCUCAAAUGCUGUUUCCUAUAGAAGGUUCUCGGUUUCGUUUUCCUAUUUUUCAUACCGCUAGUGUCUUUUUCCUUUUACUUUUGUUUUGUUAGUUGAGUUUUCUGUUGGCGAAAGUGAAGUGGCCUAGCAAGUUAUCCAAAACCAAAAAGAGGGAAGGAGACAUAAACGGAAAUAUGGUUGCCUGUAAUGGUUAUUGGUUGAAGAACGAUCUGCCUAGAAAACUUUUCCAUUUCUUUUUUUCUUUUCUUUGCAGUUUUGAUGCAAUAUUUUUGGCAGUUCUUUCCCCUCUCAUUUCAGUUUUUCUGUUAUUUACUUUUCUAUUUUUUUCUUAUAAUUUUCACCAGAGUGCUUUUGUUGAAUUUUUUUUCUGUUGGGAAAAGAAUAGAGAUUGGCAAAUUAUUCAAAAUUAAAAAAAGGGAAGGAAACUGAUAAAAGGACAUAUGGUUGCCUACGAAGGUUCUCGGCUUGAAAUACGGUUGCCUACAAAGGUUCUCGGCUUGAAGUAUAGUUGCCUACAAAGCUUCUUGCUUCAUAGUCCUUCCCUUUGCAAUUUCUUUGCAUUUCGGUUGGUAAUUCUUUUAAUGGCUGGCAAAAUUAUUCAAAAUUUAAAAAGGGAAGGAAAGCGAUAAAAUGACAUAUGGUUGCCUACAAAAGUUCUCGGCUUGAAAUAUAGUUGCCUGCAAAGGUUUUCGGCUUGAAGUAUGAUUGCCUACAAAGCUUACUUGCUUCAUGGUCCUUCCCUUUGCAAUUUCUUUGCAUUUCGGUCCGUAAUUCUUUUAAUGGCUGGCAUUAUUCAAAAUUAAAAGAGGGAAGGAAACUGAUAACAUGACUUAUGGUUGCCUACAAAGGUUCUCGGCUUGAAAUACAGUUGCCUACAAAGGUUUUCGGCUUGAAGUAUGAUUGCCUACAAAGCUUACUCGCUUCAUGGUCCUUCCCUUUGCAAUUUCUUUGCAUUUCGGUUGGUAAUUCUUUUAAUGGCUGGCAUUAUUCAAAAUUAAAAAAGGGAAGGAAACUGAUAACAUGACAUAUGGUUGCCUACGAAGGUUCUCGGCUUGAAGUACGGUUGCCUACGAAGGUUCUCGGUUUGAUGUAUGGUUGCCUACGAAGGUUCUCGGCUUGAAGUAAGGUUGCCUACAAAGGUUCUCGGCUUGAAGUAUGGUUGCCUACAAAGCUUACUUGCUUCAUGGUCCUUCCCUUUGCAAUUUCUUUGCAUUUGGGUUGUUAAUUCUUUUAAUGGCUGGCAAAUUAUUCAAAAUUAAAAAAGGAAAGGAAACUGAUAAAAUGACAUAUGGUUUGCCUACAAAGGUUCUUAGCUUGAAGUACGGUUGCCUACAAAGGUUCUCGGCUUGAAGUAUGGUUGCCUACAAAGCUUACUUGCUUCAUGGUCCUUCCCUUUGCAAUUUCUCUGCAUUUCAGUUGGUAAUUCUUUUAAUGGGCUUAAAAGCAAAAAGGUGGCUGAAAAUGCAAUAUGGUUGCCUUCAAAGGUUCUCAGGUUGAAGUACGGUUGCCUAUAAUGUUUCCAGGUUUCCUUUUCCUUUUCAUUUUAGUUUUGUUGCAAUUCUGUCUUUGUAUUAUUUUCUCUUGUAUGUUAUGCCAGUGUGUUUUAGUUGAUUUUCUUGUUCUCAAAUUGUAUAAUCUGGUCUGCAUAUUAUUUAAACCAGAAGGACAAGGAGGCCAAGAAAAUAGUUGGAAUUCAUAUUGCCUAUA